AUUGAACGCUGGCGGAAUGCUUUACACAUGCAAGUCGAACGGCAGCACGGGAGCAAUCCUGGUGGCGAGUGGCGAACGGGUGAGUAAUAUAUCGGAACGUGCCCAGUCGUGGGGAUAACGUAGCGAAAGCUACGCUAAUACCGCAUACGAUCUAUGGAUGAAAGCGGGGGAUCGCAAGACCUCGCGCGAUUGGAGCGGCCGAUAUCAGAUUAGGUAGUUGGUGAGGUAAAGGCUCACCAAGCCGACGAUCUGUAGCUGGUCUGAGAGGACGACCAGCCACACUGGGACUGAGACACGGCCCAGACUCCUACGGGAGGCAGCAGUGGGGAAUUUUUGGACAAUGGGCGCAAGCCUGAUCCAGCAAUGCCGCGUGCAGGAUGAAGGCCUUCGGG
rnacentral:rRNA from 1 species